UGAGCACAAAUGGCACAUUUGCAUUACAGUACAAUGGUAUCGAAGACGUCCAUAGGGCCCAUAAAAUCCUACCCGCCACCCGGUGCCGCCAUCGCUGCAACUGUGAAUAUCUCAACGGCGACUCUUCCUCCACCGUUUCUUCAUCACUGCAACUGUGAAAACCAUUAUUGCCACUUCGUUUCUUCAGCUCCAAAGUUCCCGCAAAUAAAUGUCGAUUCUCCCAAUUCCUCUUGCAAUUCCGAGCCCUCUUCGUCCGCCCUUAUUCUCUCUCUCUGUCUCUGGCUGGUUCAAACCACCUCUCUUACUUUCCCAAUCGAAUUCCGAUCGCUUCUUAGGCUACAACCCUAAUUCGAAUGGGCGUAGAUCCAAGAAAGAUAAGCAGCUGCUUAAGGCUUGGCUGUGCCGCGAACGCCAGAUAUAUGAGAUGCGUAAGCGGGCUGAGUUUAAGACGGCUGUCUCCGAGCUGGAGAGGCCGUAGGAGACAGUUCCUAGGAGUCAUUUCAGUGUGGCUAUCAUUUUGGCUGAAGAGGAAAGUUCCAAUUUGACUCUGUAGUAGAAUUGCUGCAGUGAACUGGAAAGGCCACCAUGAUGAGUUUUUUUGGCUGAUCAUUGUCUCAUAGGCUGGUUAGCUGAGGUAGAUGCUACUUUUCAAACUUGUGUUGGAGCUCCAACCAUCCAAAUGCUCAUCAAAUGCUGUUUAGUGUUUACUCAUGCCCGGGCAGUGCCCAUGUAUUUGCAUAUUUGUGGGUUGCUCUUUUCAUGGCAUUUUGGAAAUUAGCAGCAUGGCGUGGACAGCCUUUCUCAAAGUACAUCAACACUGUCUAAUAAGGAAGAAGGCAUUUCCGACUUGGAGCCGCCAGUCAAAAUUUGAUUCUCUUUAGCAGUUUUUCUUGAGCAUCGGCCUCCAGAAGGUUCAGAACCAGAAUACAGAUUCCUUAUCUUUCAUUCGUGCUUAAAGCACCAGCAAUCAAAGACCAACGCACGUUCCACAGAGACCCCAAUCACAGUAAGUCAUUAUUAUGGCAUUGACUGACCAAUCUUGGUUUGGAUUACUUGGGAUCACCAUCUCUUUCUCCUACUUGGAUAAGGUAAAUUUCUUUUGAAGGGUCGUCUUCAACUAUCAGAAUGAUUCAGACCCAAAAGUUUUUCUCUUUUGUGGGCCAGGCAGGUAUGUUCUUCUAAGUUGAAACUUUGGUAUUGUGACAGUCUAAACCCACCGCUAGCCGAUAUUAUCCUUUUUAGGCUUCCCCUCAAGGUUUUUAA